UGCAGUCGAGUGCGAGUUUCCGUAGCAAUACGGAAAUGGCGCACGGCGCACGGGUGCGUAACACGUGGGUAAUCUGCCCUCUGAUGGGGAAUAACUCGCCGAAAGGCGAGCUAAUACCGCAUAACAUUCCUUGGACUCCGGUUCGAGGAUUCAAAGGCGUAAGUCGUCGGAGGUGGAGCCCGCGCACGAUUAGCUAGUUGGUAGGGUAAUGGCCUACCAAGGCUAUGAUCGUUAGCUGGUCUGAGAGGAUGGCCAGCCACACUGGAACUGAGACACGGUCCAGACUCCUACGGGAGGCAGCAGUGGGGAAUCUUGCACAAUGGGCGAAAGCCUGAUGCAGCGACGCCGCGUGGGGGAUGAAGCUUCUCGGAGUGUAAACCCCUUUCGACCGGGACGAAUACCUCGCAAGAGGGGUGACGGUACCGGUAUAAGAAGCCCCGGCUAACUACGUGCCAGCAGCCGCGGUAAGACGUAGGGGGCCAGCGUUGCUCGGAAUUACUGGGUGUAAAGGGUUCGUAGGCGGUGUGGCAAGUCGGGAGUGAAAUCUCUGGGCUCAACUCAGGGGCUGCUUCCGAAACUGCCGUGCUAGAGUGUGGGAGAGGCGCGUGGAAUUGCAGGUGUAGCGGUGAAAUGCGUAGAUAUCUGCAGGAACACCCGUGGCGAAAGCGGCGCGCUGGACCACUACUGACGCUGAGGAACGAAAGCUAGGGGAGCAAACAGGAUUAGAUACCCUGGUAGUCCUAGCCCUAAACGAUCAGGACUUGGGGUGCCACCCGUUCGGGUGUCGUCCCGGAGCUAACGCGUUAAGUCCUGCACCUGGGGAGUACGGUCGCAAGACUGAAACUCAAAGGAAUUGACGGGGGCCCGCACAAGCGGUGGAACAUGUGGUUCAAUUCGACGCUACGCGAGGAACCUUACCUGGGCUCGAAAUGCUGGUGACCAGCUGUGGAAACACGGCCUUCCCGCAA
rnacentral:rRNA from 1 species